rnacentral:rRNA from 1 species
GACGAACGCUGGCGGCGUGCCUAAUACAUGCAAGUCGAGCGGACAGAAGGGAGCUUGCUCCCGGAAGUUAGCGGCGGACGGGUGAGUAACACGUGGGCAACCUACCCUGUAGAUCGGGAUAACAUCGAGAAAUCGGUGCUAAUACCGGAUAAUCAUUUGAAUGGCAUCCUUGGAAUUAAAAAGAGGGUCCCGGCUAUCACUACGGGAUGGGCCCGCGGGGCAUUAGCUGGUUGGUAAGGUAAUGGCUUACCAAGGCAACGAUGCGUAGCCGACCUGAGAGAGUGAUCGGCCACACUGGGACUGAGACACGGCCCAGACUCCUACGGGGGGCAGCAGUAGGGAAUCUUCCGCAAUGGACGAAAGUCUGACGGAGCAACGCCGCGUGAGUGAUGAAGGUUUUCGGAUCGUAAAGCUCUGUUGUUAGGGAAGAACAAGUGCCGUUUGAAUAAGGCGGCACCUUGACGGUACCUAACCAGAAAGCCACGGCUAACUACGUGCCAGCCGCCGCCGUAACAC